UCUAUCCUCUCCGAGGGUUUUGGCAGUAUUUUGGAGGCAAAUGUGGGUUUCUGGAUCUCAGAACAAGAAGACUUGGGGACAGUCUGGGAGGCUCAAGCAGGGCUGAAGUGAGGACUGCAGCUUACAGGGGCAAAGAAAGGAGGCUCCCACUGCCCUUUUUCCCGGGUUCUCCAGCUGGGGGUUUCUCUGGGGGUCUCGGCCACCCUUGGCCUCAGGAGUCCUCUCUGCCCUCUUGGCCCUCACCGGGCCUCAGUUUGAGACAGUCCAGAGGUCUGCAAAGGCUGUAGUCAGGCACCAGUUCUUGCCCGGGGCCCUGGCACAUUUGUCAUAAUGUGGCUUUUUCUACUACUGGGGCCAGGGGACCAUGGUGACCGUCUCCUCAGCCUCCACCACGGCUCCAUCAGUCUUCCCCCUGGCCCCUGGCUGUGGGACCACACCCGACUCCCAGGUGGCCCUGGCCUGCCUGGUCGCCAACUACUUCCCAGAGCCAGUGACGGUGUCCUGGAACAACGGAGCCCCCUCUGGUGCACACACCUUCCCGGCCGUCCUGCAGUCGUCUGGCCUGUACUCCCUCAGUAGCUUGGUGACUGUGCCCAAAUCCUGGGCCAGCAAGACCUACACCUGCAACGUCGCCCACUCAGCCAGUAACACCAAGGUGGACAAGAAGAUCGUGCCAAGACCCUGCAAGACACAGUGCUUCCAAUGUCCAGGCCCGGCCGCACCCUCCGUCUUCAUCUUCCCCCCCAAGCCCAAGGACGUCCUCAAGAUCUCCCUAACCCCCGAGGUGACAUGCCUGGUGGUAGAUAUUAGCCAGGAAGACGAGAAAGUCCAGUUCACCUGGUACGUGGAUGGCAUAAAGGUGAACACAGCCAAGACCAGCCAGCCAGAGAGGCAAUCCAACACCACGUACCAUGUGGUCAGUGCACUCCCCAUCUCACACCAAGACUGGCUCAAGGGCAAAGAGUUCAAGUGUGAGGUCACCAGUAGUGCCUUCCCAUCACCUGCUGUGAAGGUCAUUUCCAAGGCCAAAGGGCAGCCCCAUGAGCCACAGGUGUAUGCCCUGCCCCCACACCAAGAUGAGCUGACCAAGGACAAGGUCAGCCUCACAUGCCUGGUGAAGGGAUUCUACCCAUCUGACAUUGAUGUUACGUGGCAGCCAGAGUCUGAGAAGAGCUAUGCGAACACUGAAGCCCAGCUCGAGGCUGAUGGGACCUUCUUCCUGUAUAGCAAGCUCACAGUGCCCAAGGAUAGCUGGCAGCAAGGAAAGACCUACUCCUGCGUGGUUCUGCACGAAGCGCUGCACAACCACCACAUCCAGAAGACCGUCUCCGCGUCUCCUGAGCUGCACCUGGAUGAGAGCUGUGUGGAGGCUCAGGAUGGGGAGCUGGAUGGGCUGUGGACCACCAUCUCCAUCUUCAUCAUGCUCUUCCUGCUCAGCGUGUGCUACAGUGCCACCAUCACUCUCUUCAAGGUGAAGUGGAUCUUCUCCUCGGUGGUAGAGAUGAAGCGGACCAUCGUCCCCGACUACAAGAAUAUGAUUGGGCAGGCUGCCUAGGGGAUACUGAGAGAGGAAAACGUAUAAGCCGAACCCACCACAGGCUUCGGGUGGCUCCACCCUCCACCCAAGCCCCAAAGUACCCUCUAACCCCACCAUUCCGGACACCUCACCGUCCUCUGACCAUGCUGUCUCAUCUCCCUUCUGUCAGAGAACCUGGUGGACAGCAGGUUCUCCCACAGACCUCAGCAGCCUGGAUGCCCUUCUACCCCAUACCUAAAUAGCAUUUACAGCAGCACCAGGAGCGUCAGUGGGGUCAUCACACUGGGAGACCCUCAGAGUUAGCUGUGCAUGUCCAUUCUGGAGAAGGGGAUGGGCCAAUAUUCCCCAUGUCCAUUUGGAGCAGGGACCUGAGUACAAGCCCCGCCCCGGGCCUGGCUCAGAGAGACACCAAAUCUCAAAGAUCCUUGGUGGGGACAUCAUGCGCCAAGACAGGGGAGCCAUUGACCAUCAACCCCAGCAGGGAUGCUCCCUGGGAAGUGCUGCAACCUUCACUGAAUAGCCCUUCCUCCAGACCUCACCUGGCCAGUUCCUCCCUGGGAGACCGCAGGGAUUCCCCCACCACUUCUAUGGCCCCUGGGCUGAGGAAUAAGCUCCUUUUCAUUUUGAGCUGGAAAGUUGGUUUCUGGCUGUUGGAAAGGGGCUUUACAUCUAAUCCUGGCCUCCUACAAAGUGCUCUUAGAUGUGGGGUUCAACCCAAGGGACAGAACCUCUGCCUGCAUGGGGACCAAGCGAGGGGCUUGGCCCAGGAUACCCACCAUCUCCCAUCCACCAACACAGUUCCAGCUAAAGGCCCAGCCUCGCCACCAUGCAAGAGACCACCUGAGAAGGCCUGAGCCAUACCCAUGGACACUGCAGGGUCUGGAGGGUGCAAGAAACAAGGUCCCUGGGUGAGGGUGGACAUCUGUGCCAAUCAGGAAGGGCAUCAGGUCUGAGGGGCCAGUGGCCAGACAGCCUCCUGGUAAGAAGCCUGGUGACCUAUGCCCCAAGGUCAGGGUGUGCCAUGGGAGGACGCCUCCUUGGGACCCUGGACAGAAGUGACCAAAGACAAAGAGAAUUGAGGAAAGGAGAAUGACCAGAUGCUGGGAGUGGGCAUCUGGCCAACAAGAAUUUGAUGGGGAACCGGGCCAGCCUGGCUGCAGGCACUGCACAGAGGUCCUGAGGCCAAGAAUUUCGAACCCUGUGGGCUCCCUGUCUCCCAUCUUCCCUUCCAGCAAAUACUCAACACAGUCACAACACAAAGCAGCCAAAGUGCUGAGCCCACAUCUUAAGGUGGGAAGAAGAAUGACGCAAAUGAAAGCAAAUCACACCAAAGAAAUGCCACAGCCAUCAGCUCUGUAGCUUCUUACCUCUUUUUAAUUUUCUGAAUCUCCUUGAUUUUCAGUCAUGUAAAUGUGUUGUUCUUGUUUUUUAAUUACAAUAAAAUGGACUUAAACGGUAUGAUUUAUCAU